AAGACAGAACAAACCUGAAGAUAGCGUUAGAUGGAGAGAGCUUAGAACUCUUUGGUAUUGCUGACGGCUGUGUCAGAUGAGAGGAUACUACGGAAAAUGACAGUCCCAUGGAAAACAGUAUUCCCAAAGGAGCUUAAAAAGAGUCACCAUAUAAUCUGUAGACUGUACACCUGAGAGAAUUGAAAGCGAAGGUUCAAACAGAUGAGUGGAUAAACACAAUGUGAUAACACAGAAAGCAAGUACAACACACAACAUGGAGGAGCCUUGAAGGUAUAUCGAAUGAAACAAACUAGUUACAGAAGACCAAAUACUACAUGACUAUGACUCACAAGAGGUAGUUCAAUUCAUGAAUACAUCAUGCAGCGCAGUGCUGCCAAGGGCCAGUAGGAUGGCUGUGGUUAGGCUUCAGUUGGGGACUAUGUCAAUUUCUCUGGAGGUGGACACAAUGUAAUGACAGUUGGUGCCACCCAACUGUAGAUCAACAGUGAGUGAAACAGAACUCAAACCCAACACACAGCAGUGCACAUCACAAGUAUUUCCCAAUGCCUUCAGCCACCUCUCAGGACAGCCUUGUCAGGACACCCUUGCUUCAAGCUAGACUUCCCUCCAGUGUCCAGCAUUCUUCUGCUUCCUGGAACUGCCGGGUGCUGUCAUGAUCAGCACCAGAACAAGCUUUCUGAAUGGAAUCAACAUUUUCCUACCUUUUUGUUACUGAAGGGCACAUAGUAAACUUACUGAAGUAAAA